rnacentral:lncRNA from 10 species
GUUAAGACGGGGUUUCACCAUCUUGGCCAGGCUGGUCUCAAACUCCUGACCUAAGGUGAUCCACCCGCCUCAGCCUCCCAAAGUGCUGGGAUUACAGGCGUGAGCCACCGCGCCCGGCCAGGUUCAGUACUGUUCUAGGUUUCACUCCUAAAGGCCCUGCCUAGAAUCUAUUCCUUUGGCCCUUUCAAAGAUUUUCUAAGUGCAUACAUCUCUGCAAUAAAUUCCUUCAUGCUUAAAAUACUUCCAGUGGUUUCUGUUUCUUGCACCAAACUCUGACUGGUACAGUCAGUAGGAUUUCAGAGAAAAAUUAUAUAUAUAUAGUGAAACAUUCUACCUAGGCCUCAUGUUCUAAUUGAGGUUAUUCUAAUCGCCCUCCAGUGACCCUGGCCUGCCCUUCGCUCUGAUCCCAACCUUGGCCCCAGGCUGAUAAAGUAUGCAGAGCUCUAAUUCAGGAGCCUUCUGGCUUUACUGUUUGUCCUGACUUGACCUUUGUUCUAAGUUUCUCAGCAUCUGGUUUAACCUUCCUUCAGGAACUGAGUUUCUAUUCCAGUGACUCAAUUUCUUUCUUUCCUUGAAUCUUUUUUUCCCUCUAUUUUAUCUUCUUUUUUUUUUUCUUUUUUGAGACUGGGUCUCGCUCUGUCGCCCAGGCUGGAGUGCAGUGGCAGAGAUUUUGGCUCACUUCAAGCCCCGCCUCCCGGGUUCACGCCAUUCUCCUGCCUCAGCUUCCCGAGUAGCUGGGACCACAGGCGCCCGCCACAACGCCUGGCUAAUUUUUUAUAUUUUUUUAGUAGCGACGGGGUUUCACCAUGUUAGCCAGGAUGGUCUCGAUCUCUGGACCCCGUGAUCCGCCCGCCUUGGCUUCCCAAAGUACUGGGAUUAUAGGUGUGAGCCACUAUGCCUGUCUGUGCCUCAGUUUCUAAAGAUUGGAUUUUUGCCUAACACCUUGGAGGCUAACUUCCUAUGUAGAUGGUUAAAACAUUACCAAGGGCCGGGCAUGGUGGGUCACUCUGUUGCCCAGGCACUAGGCUAGAUGGUAAUACUGUGUAUAAAGACAGGCCUAAAAGCAUUAUUCCAUCCCUAGUAGUACUUUCACUGCUUGAAAUUUUAGAAGAUAUGUUCAUUUAGUGUUCUUUGAUGUAGGGAGCUGUCCUGAGCAUUGUAGGAUAUUUAGUAGCAUUCCUGGUUUCUACCACUAGAUGCCAGUAACCUCUGCUCCCCCCUUACCCUCCCUCCCCAGUUGUGGCAAUGUCUCCAGACAUUUUGAAAU